rnacentral:rRNA from 1 species
UAAGUUAUUAAGGGCGCACGGUGGAUGCCUUGGCACUAGAAGCCGAUGAAGGACGUUACUAACGACGAUAUGCUUUGGGGAGCUGUAAGUAAGCUUUGAUCCAGAGAUUUCCGAAUGGGGAAACCCAGCAUGAGUUAUGUCAUGUUAUCGAUAUGUGAAUACAUAGCAUAUCAGAAGGCACACCCGGAGAACUGAAACAUCUUAGUACCCGGAGGAAGAGAAAGAAAAUUCGAUUCCCUUAGUAGCGGCGAGCGAAACGGGAAGAGCCCAAACCAACAAGCUUGCUUGUUGGGGUUGUAGGACACUCUGUACGGAGUUACAAAGGACGACAUUAGACGAAUCAUCUGGAAAGAUGAAUCAAAGAAGGUAAUAAUCCUGUAGUCGAAAAUGUUGUCUCUCUUGAGUGGAUCCUGAGUACGACGGAGCACGUGAAAUUCCGUCGGAAUCUGGGAGGACCAUCUCCUAAGGCUAAAUACUCUCUAGUGACCGAUAGUGAACCAGUACCGUGAGGGAAAGGUGAAAAGCACCCCGGAAGGGGAGUGAAAUAGAACCUGAAACCGUGUGCUUACAAGUAGUCAGAGCCCGUUAAUGGGUGAUGGCGUGCCUUUUGUAGAAUGAACCGGCGAGUUACGAUUUGAUGCAAGGUUAAGCAGUAAAUGUGGAGCCGUAGCGAAAGCGAGUCUGAAUAGGGCGUUUAGUAUUUGGUCGUAGACCCGAAACCAGGUGAUCUACCCUUGGUCAGGUUGAAGUUCAGGUAACACUGAAUGGAGGACCGAACCGACUUACGUUGAAAAGUGAGCGGAUGAACUGAGGGUAGCGGAGAAAUUCCAAUCGAACCUGGAGAUAGCUGGUUCUCUCCGAAAUAGCUUUAGGGCUAGCCUCAAGUGAUGAUUAUUGGAGGUAGAGCACUGUUUGGACGAGGGGCCCCUCUCGGGUUACCGAAUUCAGACAAACUCCGAAUGCCAAUUAAUUUAACUUGGGAGUCAGAACAUGGGUGAUAAGGUCCGUGUUCGAAAGGGAAACAGCCCAGACCACCAGCUAAGGUCCCAAAAUAUAUGUUAAGUGGAAAAGGAUGUGGCGUUGCCCAGACAACUAGGAUGUUGGCUUAGAAGCAGCCAUCAUUUAAAGAGUGCGUAAUAGCUCACUAGUCGAGUGACACUGCGCCGAAAAUGUACCGGGGCUAAACAUAUUACCGAAGCUGUGGAUUGUCCUUUGGACAAUGGUAGGAGAGCGUUCUAAGGGCGUUGAAGCAUGAUCGUAAGGACAUGUGGAGCGCUUAGAAGUGAGAAUGCCGGUGUGAGUAGCGAAAGACGGGUGAGAAUCCCGUCCACCGAUUGACUAAGGUUUCCAGAGGAAGGCUCGUCCGCUCUGGGUUAGUCGGGUCCUAAGCUGAGGCCGACAGGCGUAGGCGAUGGAUAACAGGUUGAUAUUCCUGUACCACCUAUAAUCGUUUUAAUCGAUGGGGGGACGCAGUAGGAUAGGCGAAGCGUGCGAUUGGAUUGCACGUCUAAGCAGUAAGGCUGAGUAUUAGGCAAAUCCGGUACUCGUUAAGGCUGAGCUGUGAUGGGGAGAAGACAUUGUGUCUUCGAGUCGUUGAUUUCACACUGCCGAGAAAAGCCUCUAGAUAGAAAAUAGGUGCCCGUACCGCAAACCGACACAGGUAGUCAAGAUGAGAAUUCUAAGGUGAGCGAGCGAACUCUCGUUAAGGAACUCGGCAAAAUGACCCCGUAACUUCGGGAGAAGGGGUGCUCUUUAGGGUUAACGCCCAGAAGAGCCGCAGUGAAUAGGCCCAAGCGACUGUUUAUCAAAAACACAGGUCUCUGCUAAACCGUAAGGUGAUGUAUAGGGGCUGACGCCUGCCCGGUGCUGGAAGGUUAAGAGGAGUGGUUAGCUUCUGCGAAGCUACGAAUCGAAGCCCCAGUAAACGGCGGCCGUAACUAUAACGGUCCUAAGGUAGCGAAAUUCCUUGUCGGGUAAGUUCCGACCCGCACGAAAGGCGUAACGAUUUGGGCACUGUCUCAACGAGAGACUCGGUGAAAUCAUAGUACCUGUGAAGAUGCAGGUUACCCGCGACAGGACGGAAAGACCCCGUGGAGCUUUACUGUAGCCUGAUAUUGAAAUUCGGCACAGCUUGUACAGGAUAGGUAGGAGCCUUUGAAACGUGAGCGCUAGCUUACGUGGAGGCGCUGGUGGGAUACUACCCUAGCUGUGUUGGCUUUCUAACCCGCACCACUUAUCGUGGUGGGAGACAGUGUCAGGCGGGCAGUUUGACUGGGGCGGUCGCCUCCUAAAAGGUAACGGAGGCGCUCAAAGGUUCCCUCAGAAUGGUUGGAAAUCAUUCAUAGAGUGUAAAGGCAUAAGGGAGCUUGACUGCGAGACCUACAAGUCGAGCAGGGUCGAAAGACGGACUUAGUGAUC